GAGACCGGGGCUGAUCCACCACAACAGAUUGGGGGGUGAAUGUUACCAUAGCCCUCUCCAACCCUCCAGGUCUGAGCCUCACAGACGUCAAGUGUUAAUUUAGGGCUCCUGCCGAGCGUGAGCCUGUCAGCAGCAAGGCUUGGAGGAGGGAGAGAGGCGAGGUCUGUAUCUAAGAUCAUGGACACUAGCAGCGAAGACCAGAGAAUAUAGUUUUGACGAAGUGAGAAGAGGGUUCAUUAGACUCCAAGGAUUACCCAAAUAUCCUCUGUCUGUGACUUUCUCAAUGAAAGAGAGAAGAAAAAUUGCUUUGCACUGUAAACAGUUUUGUCAGUUCAUCACU